rnacentral:tRNA from 1 species
AGCUAACGGGAAAGCCCUGCAAAGGAGCGACUCUUAAUCCCAAGGUUGGAGGUUCGAGUCCUCCACGGCCCA